UCAACUGGUUAGAGCACCGCCCUGUCAAGGCGGAAGUUGCGGGUUCGAAUCCCGUCAGUCC
rnacentral:tRNA from 1 species